rnacentral:rRNA from 1 species
UACGGAGGGUGCAAGCGUUAUCCGGAUUCACUGGGUUUAAAGGGUGCGUAGGCGGGCAGGUAAGUCCGUGGUGAAAUCCCCGAGCUUAACUCGGGAACUGCCAUGGAUACUAUUUGUCUUGAAUAUUGUGGAGGUAAGCGGAAUAUGUCAUGUAGCGGUGAAAUGCUUAGAUAUGACAUAGAACACCAAUUGCGAAGGCAGCUUACUACACAGUUAUUGACGCUGAGGCACGAAAGCGUGGGGAUCAAACAGG